AGCCUGAACGCUGGCGGCGUGGCUAAGACAUGCAAGUCGAACGGAUGUAGCAAUACAUCAGUGGCGGACGGGUGAGUAAUGAAUCGCUAAUGUGCCUCGGAGCCAGGGAUAGCUGUCCGAAAGGACAGGUAAUACCUGAUGAGACCACGAACAGGCAUCUGUUUGUGCUCAAAGCAGCAAUGCACUCUGGGAGCAGGCGAUUUUGUAUCAGCUUGUUGGUGAGGUAACGGCUCACCAAGGCGACGACGCAUAGCUGGUCUGAGAGGACGGCCAGCCACAUUGGGACUGAGACACUGCCCAGACUCCUACGGGGGGCUGCAGUAACGAAUCUUCCGCAAUGCACGAAAGUGUGACGGAGCGACGCCGCGUGUAGGAUGAAGUCCUUCGGGAUGUAAACUACUGUCGAGGGUAAGAAGUUCUGAUCUACCCAGAGGAAGGGACGGCUAACUCUGUGCCAGCAG
rnacentral:rRNA from 1 species